rnacentral:rRNA from 1 species
GGAUAACCUUGGGAAACUGAGGAUAAUACUGAAUAAGGAAUUACUACUGGAAUUGUGUUUUCCCUGAAACGCAAGGUCUAAGGAUAGGUUGGCGGCAGAUUAGGUUGUUGGUGGGGUAAAGGCCCACCAAGCCGAAGAUCUGUAGGGGCCUUGAGAGAGGUAGCCCCGAGAAGGACACUGAGAUACUGGUCCUAGCCCUACGGGGUGCAGCAGGCGCGAAACCUUUACAAUGCACGCAAGUGUGAUAAGGGAACCCUAAGUGCUUUGCUCGCGCAAGGCUUUUGCCAAGAGUAAAUAUCUUGGCGAAUAAGUGGUGGGAAAGACUGGUGCCAGCAGCCGCGGUAACACCAGCGCCACGAGUGGCAAUCGCAAUUAUUGGGUCUAAAGCGUCCGUAGCCGGCCCGAUCAGUCUUUUGUGAAAUUGCUGUACUUAAUACAGCAGCGUGCAAAAGAUACUGUCAGGCUUGGAACUGGUAGGAGUAAGGAGUAUUUAAGGGGGAGCGGUAAAAUGCUAUAAUCCCUUGAAGACCUACCUGUGGCGAAAGCGCCUUACUAGGACAGAUUCGACGCUGAGGGACGAAAGCCAGGGGAGCAAACCGGAAUUAGAUAC